AGGGCGCACGGUGAAUGCCUUGGCACUAGGAGCCGAUGAAGGACGGUACUAACACCGAUAUGCUUCGGGGAGCUGUAAGUAAGCUUUGAUCCGGAGAUUUCCGAAUGGGGAAACCCCCUAUCCGUAAUGGGAUAGGAUCUUUACCUGAAUACAUAGGGUAUGGAAGGCAGACCCGGGGAACUGAAACAUCUAAGUACCCGGAGGAAGAGAAAGCAAACGCGAUUCCCUGAGUAGCGGCGAGCGAAACGGGAUUAGCCCAAACCAGGAGGCUUGCCUCCUGGGGUUGUAGGACACUCUAUACGGAGUUACAAAGGAACGAGGUAAAUGAACAGGUCUGGAAAGGCCGGCCAGAGAAGGUAAAAGCCCUGUAGUUGAAACUUCGUUCCCUCCAGAGUGGAUCCUGAGUACGGCGGGACACGAGAAAUCCCGUCGGAAGCAGGGAGGACCAUCUCCCAAGGCUAAAUACUCCCUAGUGACCGAUAGUGAACCAGUACCGUGAGGGAAAGGUGAAAAGCACCCCGGAAGGGGAGUGAAAGAGAUCCUGAAACCGUGUGCCUACAAGUAGUUAGAGCCCGUUAAUGGGUGAUAGCGUGCCUUUUGUAGAAUGAACCGGCGAGUUACGAUUACAUGCGAGGUUAAGUUGAUGAGACGGAGCCGCAGCGAAAGCGAGUCUGAAUAGGGCGAAUGAGUAUGUGGUCGUAGACCCGAAACCAGGUGAUCUACCCAUGUCCAGGGUGAAGUCCAGGUAACACUGGAUGGAGGCCCGAACCCACGCACGUUGAAAAGUGCGGGGAUGAGGUGUGGGUAGCGGAGAAAUUCCAAUCGAACUUGGAGAUAGCUGGUUCUCUCCGAAAUAGCUUUAGGGCUAGCCUCAUGUAGUAAGAGUCUUGGAGGUAGAGCACUGUUUGGACUAGGGGCCCCCAUCGGGUUACCGAAUUCAGACAAACUCCGAAUGCCAAAGACUUAUCCAUGGGAGUCAGACUGCGAGUGAUAAGAUCCGUAGUCAAGAGGGAAACAGCCCAGACCACCAGCUAAGGUCCCAAAGUAUACGUUAAGUGGAAAAGGAUGUGGAGUUGCUUAGACAACCAGGAUGUUGGCUUAGAAGCAGCCACCAUUUAAAGAGUGCGUAAUAGCUCACUGGUCGAGUGACUCCGCGCCGAAAAUGUACCGGGGCUAAACGUAUCACCGAAGCUGUGGAUUGACAUCUUUCGAUGUCANNNNNNNNNNNNNNNNNNNNNNNNNNNNNNNNNNNNNNNNNNNNNUGGUGGAGCGCUUAGAAGUGAGAAUGCCGGUAUGAGUAGCGAAAGAUGGGUGAGAAUCCCAUCCACCGAAUGCCUAAGGUUUCCUGAGGAAGGCUCGUCCGCUCAGGGUUAGUCGGGACCUAAGCCGAGGCUGAAAAGCGUAGGCGAUGGACAACAGGUUGAUAUUCCUGUACCACCUCUUUACCGUUUGAGCAAUGGGGGGACGCAGGAGGAUAGGGUAAGCGCGCUGCUGGAUUAGCGCGUCCAAGCAGUUAGGCCGGUAACGAGGCAAAUCCCGUUACCACAUAGGCUGAGCUGUGACGGCGAGGGAAAUUUAGUACCGAAGUUCCUGAUUCCACACUGCCAAGAAAAGCCUCUAGCGAGGGAAAAGGUGCCCGUACCGCAAACCGACACAGGUAGGCGAGGAGAGAAUCCUAAGGUGAGCGAGAGAACUCUCGUUAAGGAACUCGGCAAAAUGACCCCGUAACUUCGGGAGAAGGGGUGCUCAUUAGGGUGAAUAGCCCUGAUGAGCCGCAGUGAAUAGGCCCAGGCGACUGUUUAGCAAAAACACAGGUCUCUGCGAAGCCGCAAGGCGAAGUAUAGGGGCUGACGCCUGCCCGGUGCUGGAAGGUUAAGAGGAGAGGUUAGCGCAAGCGAAGCUUUGAAUCGAAGCCCCAGUAAACGGCGGCCGUAACUAUAACGGUCCUAAGGUAGCGAAAUUCCUUGUCGGGUAAGUUCCGACCCGCACGAAAGGCGUAACGAUCUGGGCACUGUCUCAACGAGAGACUCGGUGAAAUUAUAGUACCUGUGAAGAUGCAGGUUACCCGCGACAGGACGGAAAGACCCCGUGGAGCUUUACUGUAGCCUGAUAUUGAAUUUUGGUACAGCUUGUACAGGAUAGGUAGGAGCCUGAGAAGCCGGAGCGCUAGCUUCGGUGGAGGCGUCGGUGGGAUACUACCCUGGCUGUAUUGAAAUUCUAACCCGCGCCCCUUAUCGGGGCGGGAGACAGUGUCAGGUGGGCAGUUUGACUGGGGCGGUCGCCUCCUAAAAAGUAACGGAGGCGCCCAAAGGUUCCCUCAGAAUGGUUGGAAAUCAUUCGCAGAGUGUAAAGGCACAAGGGAGCUUGACUGCGAGACCUACAAGUCGAGCAGGGACGAAAGUCGGGCUUAGUGAUCCGGUGGUUCCGCAUGGAAGGGCCAUCGCUCAACGGAUAAAAGCUACCCCGGGGAUAACAGGCUUAUCUCCCCCAAGAGUCCACAUCGACGGGGAGGUUUGGCACCUCGAUGUCGGCUCAUCGCAUCCUGGGGCUGUAGUCGGUCCCAAGGGUUGGGCUGUUCGCCCAUUAAAGCGGUACGCGAGCUGGGUUCAGAACGU
rnacentral:rRNA from 1 species